rnacentral:rRNA from 1 species
UACGUAGGGGGCAAGCGUUGUCCGGAUUUAUUGGGCGUAAAGAGCGUGUAGGCGGCCAGGUAGGUCUGCUGUGAAAACUCGAGGCUCAACCUCGAGACGUCGGUUGAAACCACCUGGCUAGAGUCCGGAAGAGGAGAGUGGAAUUCCCGGUGUAGCGGUGAAAUGCGCAGAUAUCGGGAAGAACACCCGUGGCGAAGGCGGCUCUCUGGAACGCAACUGACGCUGAGACGGCGAAAAGCGUGGGGAGCAAACAGG